GACGAACGCUGGCGGCGUGCUUAACACAUGCAAGUCGAACGGAAAGGCCCUGCUUUUGUGGGGUGCUCGAGUGGCGAACGGGUGAGUAACACGUGAGUAACCUGCCCUUGACUUUGGGAUAACUUCAGGAAACUGGGGCUAAUACCGGAUAGGAGCUCCUGCUGCAUGGUGGGGGUUGGAAAGUUUCGGCGGUUGGGGAUGGACUCGCGGCUUAUCAGCUUGUUGGUGGGGUAGUGGCUUACCAAGGCUUUGACGGGUAGCCGGCCUGAGAGGGUGACCGGCCACAUUGGGACUGAGAUACGGCCCAGACUCCUACGGGAGGCAGCAGUGGGGAAUAUUGCACAAUGGGCGGAAGCCUGAUGCAGCAACGCCGCGUGCGGGAUGACGGCCUUCGGGUUGUAAACCGCUUUCGCCUGUGACGAAGCGUGAGUGACGGUAAUGGGUAAAGAAGCACCGGCUAACUACGUGCCAGCAGCCGCGGUGAUACGUAGGGUGCGAGCGUUGUC
rnacentral:rRNA from 1 species